UUAAAAUCCCUCCUACCGC
rnacentral:tRNA from 1 species